UCCGUGUUAACCACGGCAGUCUCCUUAGAGAGCCCAACUGAAUGCUGGCAACUAAGGACAAGGGUUGCGCUCGUUGCGGGACUUAACCCAACAUGUCACCACACGAGCUGACGACAGCCAUGCAGCACCUGUCUUCUGGUCGUAUUGCUACGAAAGCCGUAUCUCUACGGUUGUCCAGAGAUGUCAAAUCCAGGUAAGGUUCUUCGCGUUGCUUCGAAUUAAACCACAUGAUCCACCGCUUGUGCGGGCCCCCGUCAAUUCCUUUGAGUUUUAGUCUUGCGACCGUACUUCCCAGGCGGGGUACUUAUUGCGUUAGCGCCGGUUCGGCGGGGGUCAAGACCCACCAAACCUAGUACCCAUCGUUUACAGCGUGGACUAC
rnacentral:misc_RNA from 1 species